CCUGGGGCAGCCUCUCCGAAAAUGUUUACCCAUACUUGUUCAUAUCAAGCCAGAUCCUGAUGUUAGAAAGAGAUCCCAGAAUGCUAACAAGUUGAGAAUUCUCGGGUUUCGAACUUGAUGUGAAACAAGCACUCCUGUGACACUGUGUUCGGCACCUAGAGCUGGAGCAGCAAAAUCUGUGGUCUUGAGUCACAAAUCUCCUGGGCUUUGGAAGACAUUGACGACCCAGCAGCAUGCCUUAGGAGUGGUGGCAUGGUGGGGAGCUAGGGAAGCCAGGGCUUCUGACCUUUGGAGCCUGCCUGUUGAGGGUGCUAAUUCUUCCACUGCUGAUCCCUUAGACGCCCUCAGCUCUUUGAUUUUGGUUCUGAAUUGACUUCAGACCUACUCUGCCAUUUUGGCAGGCUGAUCUUUCAAAGACUGAAAAGAAGAAGCACACCCUCUGUUUAUCUCUGGAGCUUAUUGCUUGCAAGCUAAUUCCACGUGUGUUUUCCCUCGAAUGUAACCCUCGCACCAAGCCCAAGGUGUAUUGUCAUUACACCAGUCUCACAGAUUACAUAGUUGGCACUGGGGCCCAAAGGAAGCAAGGAACCUUGGAAACUAGACGGUGCUGUUUUACAGUCUUGUCCUUUGCUUGGGAAGUCACUGAUUCUUUGUCAGAACUAAAUGAAACAAAGCCCCGAGUAGCCUGCCAUUGAAACAGUGCAGAAUUUCUGCAUCUCAUUUGGCCUAUAGAAGAGGAUGUGAAAAGAAAGCGGGUGUAGCCAUAUUCAUUUGUACA
ensembl:processed_transcript predicted gene 10433